rnacentral:tRNA from 1 species
GGGGAUAUAGCUUAGUGUUAGAGUGUCUGCUUAGCACACUCAAGGCCCUGGGUUCAAUCCUCAGCAUUACCA